rnacentral:rRNA from 1 species
UACGGGGGGGGCAAGCGUUGUUCGGAAUUACUGGGCGUAAAGGGCUCGUAGGCGGCCAACUAAGUCAGACGUGAAAUCCCUCGGCUUAACCGGGGAACUGCAUCUGAUACUGGAUGGCUUGAGUUCGGGAGAGGGAUGCGGAAUUCCAGGUGUAGCGGUGAAAUGCGUAGAUAUCUGGAGGAACACCGGUGGCGAAGGCGGUCCCCUGGGCCGGAACUGACGCUGAGGCGCGAAAGCGUGGGUAGCAAACGGG